AAGGCUGAUGGCGACCGGCGCACGGGUGAGUAACACGUAUCCAACCUGCCGUCUACUCUUGGCCAGCCUUCUGAAAGGAAGAUUAAUCCAGGAUGGGAUCAUGAGUUCACAUGUCCGCAUGAUUAAAGGUAUUUUCCGGUAGACGAUGGGGAUGCGUUCCAUUAGAUAGUAGGCGGGGUAACGGCCCACCUAGUCAACGAUGGAUAGGGGUUCUGAGAGGAAGGUCCCCCACAUUGGAACUGAGACACGGUCCAAACUCCUACGGGAGGCAGCAGUGAGGAAUAUUGGUCAAUGGGCGAUGGCCUGAACCAGCCAAGUAGCGUGAAGGAUGACUGCCCUAUGGGUUGUAAACUUCUUUUAUAAAGGAAUAAAGUCGGGUAUGCAUACCCGUUUGCAUGUACUUUAUGAAUAAGGAUCGGCUAACUCCGUGCCAGCAGCCGCGGUAAUACGGAGGAUCCGAGCGUUAUCCGGAUUUAUUGGGUUUAAAGGGAGCGUAGAUGGAUGUUUAAGUCAGUUGUGAAAGUUUGCGGCUCAACCGUAAAAUUGCAGUUGAUACUGGAUGUCUUGAGUGCAGUUGAGGCAGGCGGAAUUCGUGGUGUAGCGGUGAAAUGCUUAGAUAUCACGAAGAACUCCGAUUGCGAAGGCAGCCUGCUAAGCUGCAACUGACAUU
rnacentral:rRNA from 1 species